rnacentral:rRNA from 1 species
UGGGGAAUAUUGCACAAUGGGCGCAAGCCUGAUGCAGCCAUGCCGUGUGUAUGAAGAAGGCCUUCGGGUUGUAAAGUACUUUCAGAGGGGAGGAAGGCGAUGUGGUUAAUAACCGCGUCGAUUGACGUUACCCGCAGAAGAAGCACCGGCUAACUCCGUGCCAGCAGCCGCGGUAAUACGGAGGGUGCAAGCGUUAAUCGGAAUUACUGGGCGUAAAGCGCACGCAGGCGGUCUGUCAAGUCGGAUGUGAAAUCCCCGGGCUCAACCUGGGAACUGCAUCCGAAACUGGCAGGCUUGAGUCUCGUAGAGGGGGGUAGAAUUCCAGGUGUAGCGGUGAAAUGCGUAGAGAUCUGGAGGAAUACCGGUGGCGAAGGCGGCCCCCUGGACGAAGACUGACGCUCAGGUGCGAAAGCGUGGGGAGCAAACA